UGUAAUUAUUAUAUUUCCAAGCUAGUUACUAGACAUAGACAUAGACAAUGCCUGAGAAAUUUGUCAAGAGAAUAUAGCCAGACAUGACGCGUCGCUAUCAGCAGAGCCCCAGAAUAAUGAAGGCAAGAUUUUAAGUCAUCGCCUCUCUAUGCGAUUCUCACGGAUUUUUCGCUGCCCUAUAAAAAAUUCUAAUUCAGCGAUUUUCAAAUUUUAAUCAGAAUUCAUAGUCCACGCUCAGGUCAAGCCAAGUUUGAAUUCAUAGCUAUGCAAAUUCGUGAAGUUUGCUCUGGACAGAGCCCAGUUGCUGCUGCUGCUGCAAAUUAUUCAAAAUGA